rnacentral:rRNA from 1 species
GAUGAACGCUGGCGGCGUGCCUAAUACAUGCAAGUCGAGCGAACGGACGAGAAGCUUGCUUCUCUGAUGUUAGCGGCGGACGGGUGAGUAACACGUGGAUAACCUACCUAUAAGACUGGGAUAACUUCGGGAAACCGGAGCUAAUACCGGAUAAUAUUUUGAACCGCAUGGUUCAAAAGUGAAAGACGGUCUUGCUGUCACUUAUAGAUGGAUCCGCGCUGCAUUAGCUAGUUGGUAAGGUAACGGCUUACCAAGGCAACGAUGCAUAGCCGACCUGAGAGGGUGAUCGGCCACACUGGAACUGAGACACGGUCCAGACUCCUACGGGAGGCAGCGGUAGGGAAUCUUCCGCAAUGGGCGAAAGCCUGACGGAGCAACGCCGCGUGAGUGAUGAAGGUCUUCGGAUCGUAAAACUCUGUUAUUAGGGAAGAACAUAUGUGUAAGUAACUGUGCACAUCUUGACGGUACCUAAUCAGAAAGCCACGGCUAACUACGUG